rnacentral:rRNA from 1 species
CAGUAGCCGCGGUAAUACGAGGGGUGCAAGCGUUAUUCGGAUUGAUUGGGUGUAAGGGGUGUGCAGACGGCUUAUUAAGUCACUUGUUAAAUUCUUCGGCCUAACUGAAGGUCUGCAAGUGAUACUGAUGAGCUAGAGGGUGGAAGAGAGAAGUGGAAUUCUCGGAGUAGCGGUAAAAUGCGUAGAUCUCGAGAGGAACACCAAUGGCGAAGGCAGCUUCUUGGUCCAUUCCUGACGUUCAUACACGAAAGCGUGGGGAGCAAACAGGAUUAGAUACCCCAGUAGUCCCUGUCUCUUAUAC